UACGUAGGGAGCGAGCGUUGUCCGGAAUCAUUGGGCGUAAAGCGCGCGUAGGCGGCCCGAUAAGUCCGCUGUAAAAGUCAACGGCUCAACUGUUGAAAGCCGGUGGAUACUGUCGGGCUAGAGUACGGAAGAGGCAAGUGGAAUUCCUGGUGUAGCGGUGGAAUGCGCAGAUAUCAGGAGGAACACCCAUAGCGAAGGCAGCUUGCUGGGACGUUACUGACGCUAAGGCGCGAAAGCUAGGGGAGCAAACAGG
rnacentral:rRNA from 1 species